rnacentral:rRNA from 1 species
CCUUGUACACACCGCCCGUCACACCAUGGGAGUUGGUUUUACCUGAAGGCGGUGCGCCAACCCGCAAGGGAGGCAGCCGACCACGGUGGGGUCAGCGACUGGGGUG